GGCUCGGUAACUUAGUUGGCAAAGCCCUUAUCCAGCAUACAAGAGGUGUGGGUUCGACUCCCACCUGGGCAC
rnacentral:tRNA from 2 species